AACARGUCGYYAUUGCUAACGUUAUACAUAGUAAUUAARGGAAAGCGAUUUCCGCUUUAAGAGGAUUAUAAAUAUUUCGGAUAGGUAGUAAUUAAGGUAAUGGCUUAAUUAGCUGGAUACUCCGUAGUCGAGGCUGAGAGGUCGAUCGAUCACAUUGGGUCUGAAAAAACCCCAAUACGUAUAGUACAGCAGUGGGGAAUAUUGGUCAAUAGCCUAACGGCUGAACCAGCAAUUUGGGAGAAUGAAUAGCUUCGGCUAAUUACACUUGGCUGUCUAAUUUAUUAUAUUUCGUGCUCCGCAUGAUAUUAAGUUAUUCAUUUUAACCCUCCUCUAUUAGGUAAGUGGGGGUUAAUUAAUUUGUCUAUUCUGCGUGAUUAGGGAAAUGAGGUUAAGGAUAUAUCUUAUUUCUACGGACAGGUGUAAGAUCGAUUUUAUCGAAUAAAAUUCUASAUAGGAUACUGAUUAUGACAAUUUUCUAUCUAUAUGUCUUGACCAAAAUACGUGCCAGCAGUCGCGGCAAUACGUAGAAGACUAGUGUUAUUCAUCUUUAAUAGGUUUAAAGGGUACCUAGACGGUUUAAUUAGUCUUAAAUAAGAAACGAUUAGACUAGAGUUAUAUAUGAGGAGGGGAGUAUUUAUGGAGUAGAGUUGAAAUUCAGUAAUACCAUGAAGACUGAUAACGGCGAAAGCAACCUUUUAUCUAAUAACUGACGUUGAGGGACGAAGGCUCGGGUAGCGAACAGGAUUAGAUACCCUAGUAGUCCAAGCAGAAAAUUAUGAAUGCCAUAGAUUAGAUAUAUUUAGUCUAUAAAUGAAAGUGUAAGCAUUUCACCUCAAGAGUAAUGUGGCAACACAGGAACUGAAAUCAUUAGACCGUUUCUGAAACCAGUAGUGAAGUAUGUUAUUUAAUUCGUAGUUACGCGAAAAACCUUACCACAAUUUGAAUAUUAUCUUA
rnacentral:rRNA from 1 species